AUUCCAGCUCCAAUAGCGUAUAUUUAAGUUGUUGCGGUUAAAAAGCUCGUAGUUGGAUUUCGGGCGUGGAGGUUCGGUCCGCCGUUUCGGUGUGCACUGUCUUUCUGCGUCUUUCUGUCGGGGACGCGCUUCUGGCCUUAAUUGGCUGGGACGUGGAUUCGACGAGGUUACUUUGAAAAAAUUAGAGUGUUCAGAGCAAGCUAAAGCUCUGAAUACAUUAGCAUGGAAUAACGCGAGAGGACUCGGUCCUUAUUUUGUUGGUCUUCAAGGAUGGAGUAAUGAUUAAGAGGGACAGUUGGGGGCAUUCGUAUUUCAUUGCUAGAGGUGAAAUUCUUGGAUUUAUGAAAGACGAACUUCUGCGAAAGCAUUUGCCAAGGAUGUUUUCAUCA
rnacentral:rRNA from 1 species